rnacentral:ncRNA from 1 species
AAAAUGGCAAUGACCGGGUAGUAGGCGAGUCCGAAACGCGCAGAGAGGGAGCGGCUGGUGUAAGCUCUCGGGGAGGACUCAGGACCGAAGCUCGCCCGCGAGCUAUCUCGCUGAACGGCUUUUUGGCUGAGUAGGCGGGGUCGGAUGCCCACCGUUAUCGGGGUUUUGAGUGCGCGUCGCACACAGCAGCGGCGCGAAGUUAGGUGGUACCACGGAGUUUAGCGGCUUCGUCCUAUCG